rnacentral:rRNA from 1 species
GAUGAACGCUGGCGGCGUGCCUAAUACAUGCAAGUCGAGCGAACAGACGAGGAGCUUGCUCCUCUGACGUUAGCGGCGGACGGGUGAGUAACACGUGGAUAACCUACCUAUAAGACUGGGAUAACUUCGGGAAACCGGAGCUAAUACCGGAUAAUAUAUUGAACCGCAUGGUUCAAUAGUGAAAGACGGUUUUGCUGUCACUAAUAGAUGGAUCCGCGCCGCAUUAGCUAGUUGGUAAGGUAACGGCUUACCAAGGCAACGAUGCGUAGCCGACCUGAGAGGGUGAUCGGCCACACUGGAACUGAGACACGGUCCAGACUCCUACGGGAGGCAGCAGUAGGGAAUCUUCCGCAAUGGGCGAAAGCCUGACGGAGCAACGCGGCGUGAGUGAUGAAGGUCUUCGGAUCGUAAACCCCUGUUAUUGGGGAAGAACAAAUGUGUAAGUAACCAUGCACGUCUUGACGGUACCUAAGCAGAAAGCCACGGCUAACUACGU